UACGGGGGAGCAAGCGUUGUUCGGAUUUACUGGGCGUAAAGGGCGCGUAGGCGGCCAGCACAAGUCAGUUGUGAAAUCUCCGAGCUUAACUCGGAAAGGUCAACUGAUACUGUGCGGCUAGAGUGCGGAAGGGGCAACUGGAAUUCUUGGUGUAGCGGUGAAAUGCGUAGAUAUCAAGAGGAACACCUGCGGCGAAGGCGGGUUGCUGGGCCGACACUGACGCUGAGGCGCGAAAGCCAGGGAGCGAACGGG
rnacentral:rRNA from 1 species